rnacentral:rRNA from 1 species
AGCGGACGAUGGGAGCUUGCUCCCUGAUGUUACGGCGGACGGGUGAUAACACGUGGGUAACCUGCCUGUAAGACUGGGAUAACUCCGGGAAACCGGGGCUAAUACCGGAUGCUUGAUUGAACCGCAUGGUUCAAUUAUAAAAGGUGGCUUUUAGCUACCACUUACACAUGGACCCGCGGCGCAUUAGCUAGUUGGUGAGGUAACGGCUCACCAAGGCAACGAUGCGUAGCCAACCUGACAGGGUGAUCGGCCACACUGGGACUGAUACACGGCCCAAACUCCUACGGGAGGCAGCAGUAGGGAAUCUUCCGCAAUGGACGAAAGUCUGACGGAGCAACGCCGCGUGAGUGAUGAAGGUUUUCGGAUCGUAAAACUCUGUUGUUAGGGAAGAACAAGUACCGUUCGAAUAGGGCGGUACCUUGACGGUACCUAACCAAAAAGCCACGGCUAACUACUUGCCAGCAGCCGCGGUAAUACGUAGGUGGCAAGCGUUGUCCGGAAUUAUUGGGCGUAAAGCGCGCGCAGGCGGUUUCUUAAGUCUGAUGUGAAAGCCCCCGGCUCAACCGGGGAGGGUCAUUGGAAACUGGGGAACUUGAGUGCAAAAGAGGAGAGUGGAAUUCCACGUGUAGCGGUGAAAUGCGUACAGAUGUGGAGGAACACAAUUGGCGAAGGCGACUCUCUGGUCUGUAACUGACGCUGAGGCGCGAAAGCGUGUGGAGCGAACAGGAUUACAUACCCUGGUAGUCCACGCCGUACACGAUAAGUGCUAAGUGUUAGAGGGUUUCCGCCCUUUAGUGCUGCAGCAAACGCAUUAGUCACUCCUCCUGGGGAGUACGGUCGCAAGACU